GAUGAACGCUAGCUACAGGCCUAACACAUGCAAGUCGAGGGGCAGCGGGAAUUAAGCUUGCUUAGUUUGCCGGCGACCGGCGCACGGGUGCGUAACGCGUAUCGAACCUGCCUCAUACUGGGGGAUAGCCUUGCGAAAGCAAGAUUAAUACCCGAUGGUAUCUUAAGCACGCAUGAGAUUAAGAUUAAAGAUUUAUCGGUAAGCGAUGGGGAUGCGUUCCAUUAGGCAGUUGGCGGGGUAACGGCCCACCAAACCUACGAUGGAUAGGGGUUCUGAGAGGAACGGUCCCCCACAUUGGAACUGAGACACGGUCCAA
rnacentral:rRNA from 1 species